ACCACACCCUGACAAUGGGAAAGGGAAGGCCAAACGAGUCACAGUCUGUCUGGAUCGCUGCUCUGAUCAUUUCAAAAUUAACCAUGCAAAGUCUCACAGUCAAUCAACAAGAUUUGGUUAUACCAUGUUUUGGGUGAACAAUGUGUGCAGAAUUUGAGCAAAACAAUGGAUUUUUGGAAACUACAAUCCCAGUCUAAAGGCUUUUUAUUCAAUGAGGUAUACACAUCAAGGGAUGGUGCUAUAAAUGGCAAACUGGGAUAAGACAUCUUGGCAUGUGCUCACAGGCAAGUAGUGAGAAAUGACAGACAUAAACAGUAUCAAGAGGAACAUCAGCUAACUCUGUGAUUGAACUGCAGUCCAUCCAUGUUCUAUACAGCUCAUCCUGUUUGGAGUUAUAAGAAAGGUUGAGUCAAACCCAGCUGACAGCCAACUCCAUCCUGAAGUGAUCGCCUGUCAACCGCAGGCGAUUACGAACGUGGCAUUGAGCUACAAUUGAGCCUGCGCCAGCUGCAUGAAAGUGAGUUUAAUGUAAAUGCUGCGACACCACAUUCCCCUUCCACCACCUCCGCCGCUUCCCAGAGCCCCGUACACGAUGGGGUCGCGUUCGUCACCGCACAUCUGGACUGAUGUCGAACUGAUGGGAAGUUGCUAAUGGGAACCACAGAACUCAGAUCCUGUGUCUUCUCCUGUAUCACGUUUUUCGAUGAGCUCCAACAUGAGGACAAGUUGGAAGGGAAUCUAUCCGUCUGUGGCCUUUUCCCAUCCCCUCGGAUACCGAGACUUUGACCAGCUGACAAAGGGGUCAAUGGAUGGAGGAUGCCUUGAGGAGAAUGUCAUCUGUUUUGUCACUAACAUCGUGCACUGUGCCCUGGCGUUGAACCAGUGCUCCGCAGAUUUUGACAUAAAGGUUUCAAACUGGAUCGCAGGCUUAUUUUUUUUGGCUUGAACUUCAUGUAUUUAAAGCAAGAGAAAAAAGUCUUGCUCAAGGGCUCCCCCUAACAAUAUAAACAAAACCCUAACAGCAUUUUUAAAUACUUUCAUAUUGCAACAAGGGGGCAAUAAAUGGGCGUGCUGACAAACUCUUCUUGUAAUGUCAUGGCUUAAAAUGAACAUUAUAUGCUCUGCAACAUCAGUGCACUUAUUAAGACUUUAAAAAACAUUGUUGGUCCUGAUGGUGAUGCUAAAAUAACAUGAGACCUGCACCUGGACCUGGACUAACGAUACAGUAUUCAAAGACACCACACCACAGUGUAGUUGAUACUAGGGGGGAGACUGUUGGGAUGAGAAAGAUGCUGUUAUACUUAUUAUACCAUGAAAAGCAUUUUAAAGUUCAAGGGUACCAUAACUACAUACUUUGUUGUGGGCAAAUAGUACUCGAAACUGACCUGACUGCAUACAAAUAACUUUCCAAUUUUCCAGAGGUUUCUAUGCACCCAAUCAGGCUUGAAACUAUACAACCAACUGUAAAUGUUUUGUCAUCUGCUAAUUUCUAAAAAAUUGUCAGUGAGUGAGCAAUUAUGAAUUUUUAGAAUAUUCUCAUCCCAAUGCACAAAUAAUUAUUAUCAUAUUGAAAUACAGUACAGUAUGAAAAAGAAAAUAUGAACA